ACGGCUCCCCUAAACCGUUCCUCGGAGCCUCUCCCUCCCCAACUAGCUGCAGGCGGCCAGGUCUCGGGUGGGGAGCGGCCCCGACCUCGCCCCCCUCCCGGGUGAGUGGCGCCACCUUGGGCCGGCGCGCCCCGGAGCCAGGAGAACGGAGCGGGUGCACGGCGCGGCGCUGGGGGUUAUCAAUCUCUCGGAUCGAUAAGUUGCCACUUGGAGAGGGGAGGGCUACGUCCCCUCGGAGACGAGUUACCCAGGGCAACCUUUCACGGAAAAACCCGCUGCCCGCCGAGAACAGCGCCGGGGCCGGCCGGGCCGCGGCGCCCGCCCCACGCAGGGUGCCCGCGCCCCGCCGCUCCCCAGCCUGCCGGCCAGCCGGGCCCGGCCCCGCUCAGCUCUCUCCGCGGUCCCGCCGGGCCCUGCUCGCCAACCCCGUGCUGGGCUGAUUGCCGAGGUAGAUGCCACCCACGCACCCCCGCGGCUGGGGAGCGCGAGCUGGAGGAUGCGGAGAGGCCUGAGGCAGGGGGGCCAGGCGCGCGCGCCCUAGGCAGUCUCAGAGGGGCCUGCUGAAGACUGAGGACGGAGGUGGGGGCAACAGGAUGGGGAGCCCGCAAUAGCCCAUCCUGACCUAAUCCGAAAGGACGAGAUCCUGGAGCCGCUCACAAAGUUUUCCGGGCCCCCUCCCACGCGUCGCCUGCACGUAUGUCCGUUUCCCGACGCUCCGCCCUCCCCCGCCAAGUUCGGCGUCUCCCAGCUCAGCGGCAGUCAGGGUGCAGAGGGAGCCCGACCUUGUCCCCGCCUCGGCCCGUCCCGCUUCUUCUGAAGCUUGUUUCAUUUUUAACUCCUUCCAGAAAAAUGUUGUUUUAAGGAAAAUCUCAAAGGAACAAAAAGCCAAUAGUGCCUUCCUUAUUUGCAAUCCCCACCCACCUCUGAGCUCGGACUGCAAGGGCCUCAAGGGACACCAGGUGACACCUGGGCCUUGCUUCUCACGGGUGACCUUGGACCAGAAAGGGUCAUUUUCAGGUGUGUUUUAUACCCCCCACCUGCCUACUUCUGGCAGGGAAUAGGGGGUCCAGUCCCCUCCCCUAUGAGAAGGGGCCCCUCUGGGCUCUCCUUCUUCGCCGGAAAGUGAACAGCUGCUCCUGCCCUGCUUGGAGGAGUGGCUGUGGAAACCCACUGUAAGCUGUAAGGAGCAGGAGCCACCAUCAUAAAUGCAAGAGAAAUUCCAAGUUGAGGUUUUUGAGAACAAGUAAGACUUUGCCCACAAAAAGGUGCAUCUUCCUUCAAAGUCAUAACUUGGCUGGAAGAGGGGAAACCUCUUGCCCAAGGCGGUGCCUUCCCCAACCAUGCUCCUUAAGAAUGUUUUUCCUACAUGUGCAGCAACUGAGGCUUCUUCCUUGAAUUUUCAAGAGGCAGGCGUCAUUUUGAGCAGUCUGGUGAAUGCACGAGGGUCUGGUGGGCUACAAAAACAAGAUAGGACAAUAAAGAAAACAAGGCAGUGUUCACUUUGUGGCCUCAGACCUAUGAUCCCUGCAGAGCUCCCAGAGUUGCUCAAGGGAUGCUUUCCAGUAAGUGACCAAAUGCCCACCUUGGCCAGGUGCCGUGGCUCACACCUGUAAUCCCAGCGCUUUGGGAAGAUGAAACGGAUGGAUCACCUGCUAGGGAGGCCCUGGCUUAUGCCUGUCAUCCCAGCACUUUGGGAGGCUGAGAUGGGUGGAUCAUCUGAGGUCAUGAGUUCGAGACCAGCCCCAGCAACAUGUUGAAACCCUGUCUCUACUAAAAAUACAAAAAUUAUCUGGGCAUGGUGGCACGUGCCUUGGUGGCAUAUACCUGUAGUCCCAGCUACUCGAGAGACUGAGGCAUGACAAUCACUUGAACCUGGGAGGCCGAGGUUGCAGUGAGCUGAGAUCAUGCCACUGCACUCCAGCCUGGGUGACAAAGUAAGACUCCAUCUCAAAAAAAAAAAAAAAGAAAAGAAAAAGAAAAAACAAAUGCCCACCUUUUCCCCUUCCAGGCACACACACAUCACUUACUUUAAAUGACAACAGUCACUUGAAUAUAUACGAUCUGGAAUGAGUGGUUUUUGUUUACUGCUUUAUUACUUGAAACUCCCAGUCCCUACUGUGGAGAAUUUGCAUCAGCCUAUGAGGAGCAGUCAUUUUGGGGAGGGAUGAUUUAUCCCUUCAGCUUUUCCCCAGAGAAUAAGUUCACUGCUUUGUUCCUGUGUUUAUUCAACAUUUAUUUAUGAUUUUGCACUUACUGUGUGCCAAGACUGAGGGUAAAACAAUGAAUGAGAAAGAUCGCAGUUCCUCCCUGUUGGGGCUUGCCCUCUAGUUGUAGGGGGUAAGGGGGGUGGCUGACUUAAUAAAUGGCCACGCAAGGCCAGUCGCGGUGGCACACAUCUGUAAUCUCAGCACUUUGGGAGGCUGAGAUGGGUGGAUCACUUGAGGUCUGGAGUUCGAGACCAGCCUGGCCAACAUGGUGAAAGUCUCUACUAAAAAUACAAAAAUUAGCUGGGCGUGGUGGUGGGUGUCUGUAAUCCCAGCUACUCAGGAGACUGAGGCAUGAGAAUUGCUUGAGCCCAGGAGGCAGAGGUUGCAGUGAGCCAGGAUCACGCCACUGCACUCCAGCCUGGGCAACAGAGUGAGACUCUGUCUCAAAUAAAUAAAUAAAUAGCCACAAAAAUAAUUAUUUACUUAUAGUUUUGAUCAAUCCUGAGAAGAAAUUAAAAUAUAGUACAAAGAGGCCACAAAACAGAGUCUCAAAGGUGGUCUGCUGAGAGCCCUAUGGAGGAGGAGGAAGGAGCCAAGCGGGGGGAUGGAGAAUAGAGUUCCCAGCUGUGAACAGUGUGUGCAAAGGGCCUGGGGCACAAAGGAGCUGGAGGCUUCUCAGCGAGAGUUGUCACAGCUCAGGCAAAGGCCACCAUGGCCAGGCUUAGGAGCCAAUUCCAUCCAUUUUCCAGUCCAGCUUCCCUCACCACCUAGCUGAAGAACCCGGAGCAAGGGAGCCCGUGUUCCAGUUUUGCAUCUGCAAAAUGAGAAAACGGAUAGCACGGAUCUCAUAGGGUGGUCCUGAGGGUUUCUCAUCUGUCCAUGCUGCCUGUCUGGCCACAAGACAGCAGUCAUCUGGCCUUCGCUGUCCUCCCUUACCUUUUCUCUCUCACCUUCACCACCUCCGAGGUCAAUCAUGUUCAUAGAGAUGCCAGUUACACAACUGCAGAUCCCCUCCUUGCACCAAUAAGUUCC
rnacentral:lncRNA from 10 species